AAAGACAUUUAUAUAAAAGAAAGACGAUAGACCCUAUGAACUUAACUGUAGUUAAACUGGGSCAGUAAAUUAAUUAUUAUUUUAAUAAAACUUAUUAUAUAAAUAUCUUUUAAAAUUAAAUAAUUCAGUUACCAUAGGGAUAACAGCGUAAUAAUUUUCUAAAGCUCUUAUUUAAAAUAUAGAUUACGACCUCGAUGUUGAAUUAAUAACCUAACUAAGGCAAAACUUAGAAUAGGAAGUCUGUUCGACUUUUAAAAAAUUACAUGAUUUGAGUUCAGACCGGUGUAAGCCAGGUCGGUUUCUAUCUUCUAGAAAAAUUUUUACAGUACGAAAGGACCUAAGAAUUUAAUA
rnacentral:rRNA from 1 species